UUUUAGGGAGACCUACACCCCUCAAAUCUUAAAAGCAAAAUGCAAAUAGAUAUUGANUCGGUCUAACCUAGGUCGGUCGCAUAUACUUGCAAUUGUUGAAAGCUUUCAAACUAUGAUUUGGUUCGAUAUGGGCUAUUAUCUCAGGUGGUUAGAGCGCACCCCUGAUAAGGGUGAGGUCCCUGGUUCGAGUCCAGGAUGGCCCACCUGAAUCAAUUAAAAAUGUAAAAUGCAAAAUUAAAAAAGAACAUAAUUCAAUUUUUAAUUUUCAAUUAUCAAUUUUUAAUUGUAUCUGGGGGUUUAGCUCAGUUGGUAGAGCGCCUGCUUUGCAAGCAGGAUGUCAGCGGUUCGAGUCCGCUAACCUCCACCUGUGGUGUAGAGCCAAACAACAGCGAAUGAGAAUUCAGCAACAUGACAUAUUAAUGUCAGACUGCUGAGAACAUCUCAGCCAGAACCUUGAAAACUGCAUAGUAACGCGAAAUUAGCAGGCAGACGCAGACAUUCGAUUGAAUGAUUGUGUUUGCAAUGGUGGAACACCAAAUGUAUUGUGGUCAAGCUAAUAAGGGCUAAC
rnacentral:tRNA from 1 species